rnacentral:rRNA from 1 species
UAUGACGGGUNUCCGGCCUGAGAGGGUGAUCGGACACACUGGAACUGAGACACGGUCCAGACUCCUACGGGAGGCAGCAGUAGGGAAUAUUGCUCAAUGGGCGAAAGCCUGAAGCAGCAACGCCGCGUGGAGGAUGAAGGUUUUAGGAUUGUAAACUCCUUUUGUUAGAGAAGAUAAUGACGGUAUCUAACGAAUAAGCACCGGCUAACUCCGUGCCAGCAGCCGCGGUAAUACGGAGGGUGCAAGCGUUACUCGGAAUCACUGGGCGUAAAGAUGCGUAGCGGGAAGGUAAGUCAGAUGUGAAAUCCUGUACUUAACUACAGAACUGCAUUUGAAACUACUUUUCUAGAUGUGGGAGAGGUAGGUGGAAU